AGCGGCGGACGGGUGAGUAACACGUGGGUAACCUGCCCAAGAGACUGGGAUAACACCUGGAAACAGAUGCUAAUACCGGAUAACAACACUAGACGCAUGUCUAGAGUUUAAAAGAUGGUUCUGCUAUCACUCUUGGAUGGACCUGCGGUGCAUUAGCUAGUUGGUAAGGUAACGGCUUACCAAGGCAAUGAUGCAUAGCCGAGUUGAGAGACUGAUCGGCCACAUUGGGACUGAGACACGGCCCAAACUCCUACGGGAGGCAGCAGUAGGGAAUCUUCCACAAUGGACGCAAGUCUGAUGGAGCAACGCCGCGUGAGUGAAGAAGGGUUUCGGCUCGUAAAGCCCUGUUGGUAGUGAAGAAAGAUAGAGGUAGUAACUGGCCUUUAUUUGACGGUAAUUACCUAGAAAGUCACGGCUAACUACGUGCCAGCAGCCGCGGUAAUACGGAGGAUGCGAGCGUUAUCCGGAUUUAUUGGGUUUAAAGGGUGCGCAGGCGGUCUGUUAAGUCAGCGGUCAAAGCCCGGGGCUCAACCCCGGCCCGCCGUUGAAACUGGCAGUCUCGAGUUGGAGAGAAGUAUGCGGAAUGCGCGGUGUAGCGGUGAAAUGCAUAGAUAUCGCGCAGAACUCCGAUUGCGAAGGCAGCAUGCCGGCUCCACACUGACGCUNAGGCACGAAAGCGUGGGUAUCGAACAGGAUUAGAUACCCUGGUA
rnacentral:rRNA from 1 species